AACGCACGAGACCUGCGGACCUGCGGAGGGAUCAUUAAUGAGAAGCUGCCCCUCGUGGGUAGACUUCCCACCCUCUGUGAACUUACCUUUGUUGCUUUGGCAGGCCCGUCCUCUGGACCGCCGGCUUCGGCUGGCCCGUGCCUGCCAGAGGAUUCCAAACCCUGUCUGUCAGUGUUGUCUGAGUCUAUAUGAAAUCGUUAAAACUUUCAACAAUGGAUCUCUAGAUCGGAAGAGCACACG
rnacentral:misc_RNA from 1 species